CCAGAAUUUAGGUAGCAUACUUGUAUGCAGAAGGUGCCUUGCCCAGUCAGAAAUGUUUCUUAGUUCAUGCUGGGCAAGAUUUUAAUUUGAAAUCCUAAAGAGCCAUUGCCAGACUGGCUAAGAAUUGUGAAUGCAGGAGCAAGCCGUGGUGAAUCAAUUGUGGUUUUUUUUUUUACAGGCUUUAAAAGAGUGAUUUGACAUGUUGGGUUGAUUUUUUUGGCCUAGGGUUCAGAACCCUGGAUAGCUCCUUUAAAGUCUUGAAUAAAACACAGAGCAAAUGUACUACACUCUUUAUAUCACUUUAUAUCACUGGUUCUCAACCUGUGGGUCCCCAGAUGUUUUGGUCUUCAGCUUCCAGAAAUCCUAACAGCUGGUAAACUGGGAUUUCUGGGAGUUGUAGGCCAAAACAUCUGGGGACCCACAGGUUGAGAACCACUGCUUUCUAUGAAAGCUAUUGACUGACCCUUCAUCACUAUAGUGAGUACUAAACUAGGUGUCUUGACCUGGUGGAAGCCUGUUUCAUACAUAUUAAGAGGGACAAUAUUCUGACAAGGUCAUUCCCCCUUGACUGAAGGUAACAUAAAAAGAUGGGGAGUGAGAAGAGGCAAGGUUGAUAUUCAGGUAUGGGCAUAAUUUCUACAUCACUGUGACAGAGCACCAAUCUCUGGCAAUGUUCCUAUGGGAAUUAGAGGAGAUUUCUCCUUUGCCUGGCUCUUUCUUUCAGUAUACAACAACAUAGCUGCAUUUUUGUCAACACCAAUAGCGGCUGGAAUGCACCUGGCCUAUUUUGACUCCUCUUGAGCAUCAAGGGAAAACAUGGAUGAACUUCUGUGGCUGACAAGUGGCCAGAAAUAUGAUAUAGCAGUCUCUCAACUGUUGUUGCAUAAUGCUGUGACAACCUUGCAGAAGUACGUACAAUCAGUUUUCUUUUGCAAGGUCUGAAAAAGUAUAUACACAGAUGUAACCCCUACUUACACUCACAUAUAUCACCAAUGGGAGCCCAGUCCUUUUUGGUGAGUUAAUAUGGAACCAUUACUCCUUUUUGAUAGGUACUAUAUCCAUUUGAUGAAAAGUGUUUAUCUCUUACAGCACAAACAGUGCAAAACAGUUUUCUAUAAAAUGUCAUUUAAAAAAAAGUAUGUGUGAGCAUAAUUUUUAUCUCUAUUGGUUUAGGAUUCAACACUAAAUGCAGUUAAGCUGCAGAGGAUCCUGAACUGUGAGUCGUGGACUACUCUUCAGAACUAUGGAUUAAGAUUUAGCUUGGAUGUCUGCCGGAGUAUCCUGGCCCUCCUGGAUUUUAAUAGCACUGGAGACUUGAGCAUUCAAGAAUUCAGACUCCUAUGGAAGAAGUUGCUUCUUUAUCAGGAAGUUUUCCAGAAAAAAGAUAUUCACCAUACAGGAUGCUUGGAACAAGCAGAGGUACAAGCAGCUUUAGAAGAAAUGGGCAUUCCCAUCAGCAGUGAGCUUUGUAAGAUGAUGGCAUAUCGCUAUGGGGACGCUCAUCUAAAAGUCACCUUUGAAAACUUUGCGUGCUUUGUGCUGCGUGUGGAACUCAUGAUGAAGGCCUUUCAUAAUAUGAGUAAAGAUGGCAAAGGGAUAUAUAUCAAGGAAUCUGAGUGGAUGAUUAUGACCCUUUACUCAUGAAGUGAAAAAAAAAAGCGUUGGACUGAGCUACAGUAGCCUUUAAAAGAAUUAUAGGGGAACUUUCUUAUUAGCUUUCUCUGUAGACAGAUAGAGGCAGAGGAAAUCCAGACACUUUUGGUUCUACUUGUGUCUUAAUUGAAAUAGGAUUUAGGCCUAUCAUUUCAAUGUAUCAUUUCAAAUCUUCAUUGAAACUCAGAUUUGGGAUUAGAGCAGGUAGUGGUAUAGUCUUGUUAAAGAAACAGCAAGAAAGUCAUCACACUGCAAAUGUACCAACAAAAAAAAUCCAAUGCUAUUUACCUCAAGAGUAAUCUUGUCUCACAUCACCAUGCCAUGUCAUCAUGGGAGAAGAGAUGGACAGCUAUAAGAAACAGGACCUUUUCGGUGGAAGUGCCAAAGCUUUGCGCUCCCAAUGAACACCCUAUCUGCCUCCUUAUCUGAGUAUUUUAGAAGUCUAUUGAAGUUCUCUUUUAAAAAUCCAAGGAAGUGUUAACAUUUGAUUGAUCUGUUUUAUAGACCGCUGCUUUCAAACUGAUAUAUUUUAUUGCUGUUUUCAGUUUGUUCAAUGCACUUUCUUGAUUUUGCAUAGCUUUACUUGUGUUGGUACAAUGUUUAUGUUUUUGAUUGUGACUGCAUUUAUUACUUUUGUACACUCUCUUGAAUGCUUUUAUCAAAAUACGAAUAUUUGUUUUAUAAGGAAUGUAAUGUAGUCCACAAAAUUAGAACUAACAUAUCAUUUUAACAUCUCAUGCCAGCAGUGUCACACACCCAUUUAAUUCCCGACCUUUGCUUUGACUAUUGGGUAAUGUUACCCAUAUCCUCUUCUGUUUGAGUUGCCAUCUAGGGCUGAAGUCAAGUAGCUGACCUACCUAAGUUGUAUAAAAUGUUACUUGUUGGUGUCUUUAAUUAUCUGAUUAUUGCCCAUUUUAAACUGAGCAGACAAUGCAGCAUUACUUAUGAGAGCAGAUAUGUGAGAAUCUCCUCAGUCCUCAGAAAAACCCCUGCGAAGUCUUUGUUUUCAGAUUGUUUCUUCCCAGCAAGCCACCCUCCAUGACUCUUUAGAUCUCUUCUGCAGUCAUUGGUGAUGUUAGUGUUCAAUUACAGCUGCCUGCCUGUACAUGUUACAUUAAUUCAAUUAGUGUAACAAGUGCAGGCAGUUCCGAUUGAAUAAUUAAUUUAAUUGUAGGGGAAGGCCCUGCAUCUGAAUAGCCCAAAAAGCUUUCUUAGGAUAUGAAACCGAUGGAGAAAUUCUUCACAGCUGAAAAUGCUGGGGAUGAUGUGACAAGCAUAGGAAGAACCACAUUCCUUGAUUCCAUUGAGUAUGAAAUUUCAUUCUGCCAGACAAAUUCUUUCACAGUUUUGAAAAUAUUGCAGUGUUUGGGGAAAUAAGCUAGUUAUUUAGAUUUACAAUCCUGCAACCAAUGUGUCCACUUAGAAUGGCACAUAUUGUGAAAGGAGCCCCCAGUGGUGCAGUGGGUUAAACCACUGAGCUGCUGAAUCUGUUGACCGAAAGGUUGGCAAUUCGAAUCUGGGGAGCAAGGUGAGCUCCUGCUGUUAGCCCCAGCUUCUGCCAACCUAGCAGUUUGAAAACAUACAAAUGUGAGUAGAUCAAUAGGUACCGUGGGAAGGUAAUGGCGCUCCAUGCAGUCAUGCCGACCACAUGACCUUGGAGACAUCUAUGGACAACGUUGGCUCUUUGGCUUAGAAAUUGAGAUGAGCACCAACUCCCAGAGUCGGACACAACUAGACUUAAUAUCAGGGGAAAGCCUUUGCCUUUACCCUAUACUGUGAAAAAAUGUUAUUUGGAAGAGGCUAUAGUCAAAGUAACAUACUGUACCAUACCUACACACUCACUCACACACACACACACACAUCUGUAUCUAUAUACACACACAACAUUGUUUUAUAUACCAGUUUGGAUACACAUGCUAUCCCUUGUUUACACAAUGCACUGUAAAUAUAGUGAUUUAUGUAACUAUUAAUUAGAAUCUGUCUUUACUAUACACCAUUUCAUUUUUGUAACAUUAAAUAGCACUGUGCUAUGUGACCUGUUGUUUUGAAAUUGUCAAGUGUUUUAAUAGAAUCAUUGAAUCUGUACAAGGCAAACUCUAUUCUAUUGAUUGCAUAAAAGUAUUUUACUAAUUGUGUUUUUGAAAUGUUGCUGUAUCUCAGAGAGGAACACAGCUGCACUUUUAAAAUGUGACUCGUACUUUUUAGUGAGCAUAGUGGAAAACAAUUCAAAAAGCUUUCUGAGAUAUGCAUUCAAAUAAAUCCAGUUAUUCACCACAAGGUCACUUGUUUAUGACUGGGUGCUAUUACAAUAGCACACUAACAGAAAGGAGUAUAUUGCGGUGGAGCUAGUCAAGUGGAUGACAAGCUUUUCAGAGAAGAGCUAAGCGGAACAGGAAACAGGAAAAGUAUAGCACAGCAGCACAAUGAAAAAUUAUGAAUAGAAAAGAAAGGCUGAUGUUUCAACUCAAAACUUUGAAAUAAAAGUUAUUUAAGGAUAUAUUCAGAAAGAUCUAAAUCCAGUUGCUUUCCCAGCUAGAGUAGAUUCAUAGGCAUAAUGAGAACUUGUUAAGUUGCACUGAUUCAGUGGGGAUUGACAAUUGGAUGUAGACCAAAGUUCAUUUGCAUCUUUCUUCUUAAAGAUAGAGCUGUUCGUUGUUGCAUGCCUUCAACUCAUUUACAAUGUGAGCUAACCCUAAAUUCAAUUUAUCACAGGAUUUUCCUGGCAAGAUUUGUUCAGAGGAGUUUUUUUUUCCCUUCCUCUGAGUAAGAAAGAGUGUAACUUGCCCAAGGUCAUCCAGGGGGUUUCCAUGGCUGGGCAGAAAUUUGCAUCCUGGUGUCCAGAGCAAUAGGGUGUAUUUGCACCAUAUAAUUAAUUCAGUUUGACACCGCUUUAACUGUAGAGUUUUAAACAUGAAAACAAGAAGCUUAUAUUGUGUCCUACAAAGAUCAUGUAAAUAAUGAUGAGAUAUCAAAAGUAGGGUAAUAUAAUUGAAACAAUGUGCCAAAAAGAUACUCUUAAAAACAAAAUAUUGAAUUUGGGAACAAAGUGUCCCAAAUCAGUUAUUUAGCAUGUGAAACAGAAAAUCCCACAAACUGUUCUCCCUAUACUAGGAAGGAGAAAUAGAAUGCAACAGUAACACAUUAAUUAGCCAAUUCAUAGCCCUUCUAUGACAGCUGAUACUGAACUGGCUGCAUGAUGAAGCUAACUGACUCUGCCUAAUAGUAGGAUCAACCCUAACACUAUAAAAAUAGCACCUAUGCCACAGACCCAUAAUGUUGUUUCAGGCAAAAUCUGAACACUGACUCAUUCUAAUAUGGCAACAAAUGAUGAAUAUGACAUUUCCAUAAAGAACCCUUCCUACCAUGGAUUUGUUAUUCUGUUCUAUUGUAAGAAUACCUGGCACUGUACUGUACCCAAAGUGAUCAGUGGGGACCUCUGGUUUCUUGCUCCCUAUUUUUUAUUUAGAAAUGUUAUCAGCAAUGCUUGAUCCUCUCCUGCUUUCCGAAACACCUCCCAAUUUUACUAUCAGCUUUCUGUUUACUAACAGAACAUACUCUCACUCUUCUACCUUUUACCUUAAGAAGCUUAGCAGCAAUGCCUUAGCUAUUUUCCACUUUUUUCUACCUACCAGCAGUAUAUUAGAAAGUAUUUUCUCACUUUCUAUCUGAAUUAUAUGUACUGCCUUGUUGUGCCCCAACAAGUUAUUCAUGAAACCUUAUUUUGCCUUUUAAGAAGCUCUCCUUCACAUUUU